rnacentral:rRNA from 1 species
UGGGGAAUUUUGCGCAAUGGGGGAAACCCUGACGCAGCAACGCCGCGUGGAGGAUGAAGUAUCUUGGUACGUAAACUCCUUUCGAUGGGGACGAUUAUGACGGUACCCAUAGAAGAAGCCCCGGCUAACUUCGUGCCAGCAGCCGCGGUAAUACGAGGGGGGCAAGCGUUGUUCGGAAUUAUUGGGCGUAAAGGGUGCGUAGGCGGUUCGGUAAGUCUUGUGUGAAAUCUUCAGGCUCAACUUGAAGUCUGCACAGGAAACUGCUGGGCUGGAGUAUGGGAGAGGUGAGUGGAAUUCCUGGUGUAGCGGUGAAAUGCGUAGAUAUCAGGAGGAACACCUGUGGCGAAAGCGGCUCACUGGACCAUAACUGACGCUGAGGCACGAAAGCUAGGGGAGCAAACA